AGUGAACGCUGGCGGUAUGCCUAAUACAUGCAAGUCGAGCGAACGGACGAUAAGCGUUCGCCUCUGCGGUUAGCGGCGGACGGGUGAGUAACGCAUGCAUCACCUACCUCUAUGACUUGGGGGACUUCGUAGGACAACAGCUGCUAAUGCCUCAUACGAUCAACGGGAUGAUUCAAAAGUUCAUGAGACUUUUGCUGUCUCUUAGAGAUGGAUCCGCGUUGCAUUAGCUAGUUGGUAAGGUAACGGCCAACCAAGGCAACGAUGCAUAGCCGACCUGAGAGGGUGAUCAGCCACACUGGAACUGAGACACGGUCCAGACUCCUACGGGAGGCAGCAGUAGGGAAUAUUGGACAAUGGGCGAAAGCCUGAUCCAGCAAUACCGCGUGAGUGAAGAAGGUCUUCGGAUUGUAAAGCCCUUUUGUUAGGAAAGAAAAGCAGCAUAUUAAUACCCCGAUGUUCUGACGGUACCCAAAGAGAAAGCACCGGCUAACUUCGUG
rnacentral:rRNA from 1 species